AGUCGAACGAAGAUGCCGGAGUGCUUGCACUUUGGCAGACUGAGUGGCGGACGGGUGAGUAACGCGUGGGUAACCUGCCUUAUACAGGGGGAUAACAGUUGGAAACGACUGCUAAUACCGCAUAAGCGCACGGUAUCGCAUGAUACAGUGUGAAAAACUCCGGUGGUAUAAGAUGGACCCGCGUCUGAUUAGCUUGUUGGUGAGGUAACGGCCCACCAAGGCGACGAUCAGUAGCCGGCCUGAGAGGGUGAACGGCCACAUUGGGACUGAGACACGGCCCAAACUCCUACGGGAGGCAGCAGUGGGGAAUAUUGCACAAUGGGGGAAACCCUGAUGCAGCGACGCCGCGUGAGUGAUGAAGUAUUUCGGUAUGUAAAACUCUAUCAGCAGGGAAGAUAAUGACGGUACCUGACUAAGAAGCACCGGCUAAAUACGUGCCAGCAGCCGCGGUAAUACGUAUGGUGCAAGCGUUAUCCGGAUUUACUGGGUGUAAAGGGUGCGUAGGUGGUAUGGCAAGUCAGAAGUGAAAGGCUGGGGCUCAA
rnacentral:rRNA from 1 species